rnacentral:rRNA from 1 species
UACGUAGGGACCGAGCGUUGUCCGGAAUCAUUGGGCGUAAAGAGCGUGUAGGCGGCCUUUUAAGUCCUGCGUGAAAUCCUGCGGCUCAACCGCAGACGGUCGUGGGAAACUGGAAGGCUAGAGUGCGGGAGAGGAGAGUGGAAUUCCCGGUGUAGCGGUGAAAUGCGCAGAUAUCGGGAAGAACACCGGUGCGAAGGCGGCAUCCUGGACCAACACUGACGCUGAGGAGCGAAAGCCAGGGGAGCAAAGCGGG